GACGAACGCUGGCGGCGUGCUUAACACAUGCAAGUCGAACGGAAAGGCCCUGCUUUUGUGGGGUGCUCGAGUGGCGAACGGGUGAGUAACACGUGAGUAACCUGCCCUUGACUUUGGGAUAACUUCAGGAAACUGGGGCUAAUACCGGAUAGGAGCUCCUGCUGCAUGGUGGGGGUUGGAAAGUUUCGGCGGUUGGGGAUGGACUCGCGGCUUAUCAGCUUGUUGGUGGGGUAGUGGCUUACCAAGGCUUUGACGGGUAGCCGGCCUGAGAGGGUGACCGGCCAAAAUGGGACUGAGGUAGGGCCCAGACUCCUACGGGAGGCAGCAGUGGGGAAUAUUGCACAAUGGGCGGAAGCCUGAUGCAGCAACGCCGCGUGCGGGAUGACGGCCUUCGGGUUGUAAACCGCUUUCGCCUGUGACGAAGCGUGAGUGACGGUAAUGGGUAAAGAAGCACCGGCUAACUACGUG
rnacentral:rRNA from 1 species